rnacentral:rRNA from 1 species
CAGUCGCCGCGGGAAUACGGAGGGAGCUAGCGUUGUUCGGAAUUACUGGGCGUAAAGCGCACGUAGGCGGCUUUGUAAGUUAGAGGUGAAAGCCUGGAGCUCAACUCCAGAAUUGCCUUUAAGACUGCAUCGCUUGAAUCCAGGAGAGGUGAGUGGAAUUCCGAGUGUAGAGGUGAAAUUCGUAGAUAUUCGGAAGAACACCAGUGGCGAAGGCGGCUCACUGGACUGGUAUUGACGCUGAGGUGCGAAAGCGUGGGGAGCAAACAGGAUUAGAUACCCCCGUAGUCCCUGUCUCUUAUAC